rnacentral:tmRNA from 1 species
GGGGCUGAUUCUGGAUUCGACGGGAUUUGCGAAACCCAAGGUGCAUGCCGAGGGGCGGUUGGCCUCGUAAAAAGCCGCAAAAAAAUAGUCGCAAACGACGAAAACUACGCUUUAGCAGCUUAAUAACCUGCUUAGAGCCCUCUCUCCCUAGCCUCCGCUCUUAGGACGGGGAUCAAGAGAGGUCAAACCCAAAAGAGAUCGCGUGGAUGCCCUGCCUGGGGUUGAAGCGUUAAAACGAAUCAGGCUAGUCUGGUAGUGGCGUGUCCGUCCGCAGGUGCCAGGCGAAUGUAAAGACUGACUAAGCAUGUAGUACCGAGGAUGUAGGUAUUUCGGACGCGGGUUCAACUCCCGCCAGCUCCACCA